GCGAGAGUGGUGAAACUGGUAGACACGCCAGACUUAGGAUCUGGUGCCACGGCAUAAGGGUUCGAGUCCCUUCUCUCGCA
rnacentral:tRNA from 1 species